UGGGGUCUUUAGGUGAUGAUCUUUGCCCUCUGGGUAAUUCAGGACCAUCGUGGGAAAUCCUGUCCGAUGCAGAGAGACGACCCGACACACUAACACAAACAAACAAACAUUGGGGCGUGUGUGCGUUAGUGUGUUUAUUCCUAGAUAGCGUGUCUAUCCCCUCCCCCCGCUUACCCUCUGAGUUCGGCCUCUCUCAACGAAAACAUUAAAGCGGACGCCCCCUCAGUUCGCACUGACUUUCCAAGGACUACCAGCACGUUACUACCGCUACUUCUCCUUACACAAGCACCCACACUGACACACACACGGUCGGACCUACUUUGGAUAUCUCCUCUGCUGCACCAUGGGUAGGAUCUCUGACUCGGCUCUCGGAUCAGGAAGCAACAGCUCAGCAAAACGUUCUGAAGGAGAGAUAAUAGGAACGGCAAAGGAGGGAUGAGACUGGAGGUUGGAGAUGAACACAGAGACAAGGGGAUGAUAAGAACACAAACCACAUGGUUGUGGCUGACUGACUGGUGAGGAGAGUGGAUUAAUUUGUUUGGCCCCUGAAUGGUGCAGCUGUAAAGCCACUGCCUAACAGUUGCCUGUGUCAUUGUGAGACCAGGGAGCAGCACUGUUGGAGUUGCGCGGUUAUCCCAUGGAGUGUAAUGCGUUUGGCCAGCAACUUCCUGGUUGGAAGGGUUAGCCAUCAAAUAUGGUCACCUUGCCUAGUAGCGCUUUGUACGCCUGUGAGAUCAAUCAAGGUAGAAGGGCAGAGAAAUUGUUCCCUCACGCGUUUAAGGAUUCUGGUGAAUUUCCUGGUUGUGCAAGCAGAAUGGCAUCGGAUGUGAUUCAGAGGAAACAUCUCUACAGCAACUGUUCAGAGUCUGCACUGAAGUUGGACCUUAAUAACAAAUUGGAGUUUGGGAGAAAAACUGGGUAGAAGUAAAGUUUUUUUUUUUUAAACAUUGGGAAAAUAAUGCACAUCACCCACCCUCCCAAAGCUGUCACAGAAAGGGCCUCACUCUGGGCUAGGAUAUGACUCAUAUCACACCAGAUCAACAACUGUCCACUAGGGUUUGCAAGAUAUUUAAAAGACCUGCCCAGUGUUUACAGAUUUCUAUGAAACAUCACCACUAGUGACUAGCUUUUUCUUCCAAAAAUGUAAAGGUACACCUCUAGACAUUAUUUGGAAUAUUUUUGUAGUCUCCCUAAGUAAGUAUAAGCAAUUGGAGGUGUUUCAGUGAUAAUUAUUCACCAAGGUAGCAUUUUGGAAAUUUCAAAAAUGCUAACUUAUUAAUGGAUUGAGCCUUCUAUCUGAUAUAAAAAAUGAAUGGAGUCAUGUUUUGUAGCAUUGACUGUGGCCUUUGUGUUUUACAGAUUGCUCGAUCACACUGGUGGGUAGACACAGUUGUCCUUGUUUAAGAGACUUUGUAAAGACUACAUCCUUUCCAAAACAGAGAAUUUUCCGUAGCUAGCUAGCAAGCUUGUCUUCUUGAGAUUAUAAAACAAUGCUUCUGAUGAUUCUUCAUUACAGGAAGAGCUGGACAUUACUAGAAAUUCAGGAUAUUGUGGAUUGCUUACAACCAGCAAAUGUAGAUGGCCCAGUUUCAGCACCAUGCUGUGAAUUGCCUCAUUAUUUCUGAUAAUAUAGUCAGAAAUUGUUUUAAGUGCAUGUUUUAAGCAGACCGAACCGGCUUCUGUUUUCAGAUGGAUAAGUCUCUCUCACUUCCAUCAGCAUGAAUAAGUGGCGUGGCCCUCUACUCAAUGGCAUCGACAAACAACGGCGAAAUCCCUGCAGUAUCCUGGUGGUUUGAAUUCUAUACUUCUCACUAUUUCCGGUCAGGUGAGAAAACAAGUGGUGAAUAGCCUGGUGAAUAGCGUUGUGCCAUCUAACUUGUUGUAAAAUGUCUAGAGAAUAUUUGAGCCAAUAAGACCAACACCUGAACCUCAUUUGUGCCUCCUGAACCUCAUCCUUGAGAUAACAACCUUCAGAAUGUAGAAUGUCACCAUUGUGGACCAAAAAUAGCUUUAUUUAAAACUAAAAGAUCCAAAUAUCUGCCUUUUUUAAUCAACUGUCAUAAUACCACUGGUCAUUUGCAGCAUUUUUACAGUAUGACAUAAUGAAAACAAAGAUGUUUUAACUAACAAGGGAGGGGGUGUGAGAUUGUAUAACACAAAGAUUAGUAACCUAUCAGAAGGGAGAUCACAGAGGUUUGGUUUCCUUGAAUGUGAAAGCGUCUGUAAAACAUAAGAUAUAUAUUAUUUAGUAUGUAUGUGUGUGUGUGUGUGUGAGAGAGAGAGAGUUUGUGUAUGCCUGCGUCAUGGAAAAAAUGACUUCUCAGUUGCUGACUAGAGAGAGAAGAGAAAAGCAGCCGGCAGAGUAACAAUGGUGGAGCAAUGUUAUUAAAUCUCAGGCCACGGAAGCCUCCGGAAAUGGAUUCUACCAAGCCACCAUCAAAGACAAGAAAUCCUGACCGACAGACACACACACGGAUACUGUAUACAAAGACACACGCAGACACACACACCUCAGGUCCCUACUUACCUUAUACAGUAGGAAGAGGCAGUAAACAUCAGGAAGAGGAUGAGGACCAAUAGGACUCCAGUGAUUCCUGGGACUACCGACCACCCACCAAUCAGUCGUCACGUCAUUAAUCAACCAGAGAACAGAGUCGUCACGUUAUAAAUCAGAUACCAGAGACAAACGGCAUCUAUCCAUCAAUGAAAUGUUCAAAAUCUCAAAAUGUGUCUUCCUUGCGAAAGCGCAAGCAAACGUUUUUGUAAAAGAAAAUACAGAAUAACUCUCAUUACUACACAACAUUGCAUCAGUGGUUUUGAGCAGACUUCACUGUGGGUUUUAAACGUGACACCUGGCUCAGCCUGGUUUAAAACAAAUUCAAUCAACAUCCAUACAGAACAUGCCUACUGGGGUCUGACAGUGAAAUUGAACCUUGACUGAUGGUAGUUUUAGCUCUCUGGAUUCCCAGGAAGUGAACAAG